UACGUAGGGUGCAAGCGUUAAUCGGAAUUACUGGGCGUAAAGCGUGCGCAGGCGGUUGUGCAAGGCAGAUGUGAAAUCCCCGGGCUCAACCUGGGAACUGCAUUUGUGACUGCACGGCUGGAGUGCGGCAGAGGGGGAUGGAAUUCCGCGUGUAGCAGUGAAAUGCGUAGAUAUGCGGAGGAACACCGAUGGCGAAGGCAAUCCCCUGGGCCUGCACUGACGCUCAUGCACGAAAGCGUGGGGAGCAAACAGG
rnacentral:rRNA from 1 species